AGAGAGGAAUUUAUAAUCGAAUAAUUUUGAAUCAAACAGAUUAAAUAAAUUUCGAUCAGUAGAUCUAUAAAUUGAGGGAGAGCUGCUCUGUCUGAUCCCUUCCGCCAUCAAUUCUCGGUCUAUGCGGUGGAAAUCGGCGAUCCGAGUUGUGGUUUUGGAGGGCAAAGAGUUAAUUUUUCUCUCGUCGCUGGUCCUGAUCCUUGGUGUAGUAGGAAAGCGCCAGGGAUUCUUCGAUCCCAUCCUCGAUGACUGGCGACAGGGGCAAUGCCCCCUCCGACCCGUCGCCCAAUGUCUUGCCUAAGGACCUCGAAGAGCCCAUGAAGAAUUUUACGAUUGAGGAGGUGGAUCGGAAAGACGACUUUGAUGGUCGUCUGAAUCCUAAUCCUUGACGCCCAAGGGAACCAGAUUGCAAGCGCUACUUGAGGACUGACUCCUGUAAUUUUGGAAGCAAGUGCAAGUAUAACUUUUCUAGUUCCACAGAAGAGGAAACUAAGAAUAGAGAUGAACUGCCCCAAGAGGAUCAACCUGACUGCCAGUUUUUCCUCAAAAUUGGGUUUUGUAAGUAUGAUACAAUCUGCAAGUAUCAUCAUCCAAAAGACAAGCAUGCAACCCACUUACCCCUGUUGAAUUCUUUUGGUCUUCCACUGCGCAAGGUAUUAACAUAUUUUUAUCUUGGCUCUUUAUUUUGAAAUUUACAGAGUAAUUUUUUUGAACCUUCUCUUUUGUUUACUUAAGUUUGAUUAAUGAGUAUUUUAUCCGGUUUAGCAAGAUAUGAAGUCCUAUUCCUACUUUAUGAAAGUUGGAUCUUGUAAAUUUGGAAUUGUGUGUAAGUAUGAUCAUCCUCAGCCUAACAAUAUCGGAGCCAUGUUUCCUGGGUGGGGCCUUCAAUCUAUGGCUAUGUUGGAUUUUCUGCAACUACAGAACCACACUUAUCUGGUGGAUAUUCUGCAUGGCUUACAUCAUGGCCCCCUUAUGUGACGAGCUCUUAUAUGGAAGGACUCCCUGCUUACAAUUUUCUGGCGCUUCCAACUAACCAAACCACCAUGCCUAUCCAGCCAGGUUGGAGCACAUACAUGGCACCCAGCACUACACCUGUAUCCUCUGUUAGCAGUCUUGGGACUAAUCAUACAAAGCCAGGUUCGAGCACUGGUGAUAUCUUCCCAGAUAGACCCAACGAACCAGAUUGCCAAUACUACCUGGAGACAGGGACCUGCAAGUAUGCUAGUUCUUGCAAAUAUAAUCACCCUAAAGCAGCAACACAACUGACUAACUGCAUCAUCGGACCCUAUGGACUUCCUCUCAGACCAGUAAUUCAUCAUCUUCAGAAUUGUGUUAUUUAUAUAUGUUUUAUUUGAAUAACUGAAUAAUUUUCUUGAUUCAAUGCAUUCAUGUAUCAAUCGGUCCUAAAGGAUUCUCCUAAAUGCAAACACUAUGCUACUUAUGGAAUUUGCAAGUAUGGUCCAACUUUCAAAUUUGAUUACCCAAUUAUGGCUGUACUCACUGCCUGGAGCAUCGGAGCCAUAUCCUUUUCAAGAUGGUAUAGAGAUUACAUGGUCUGCAUAAAACAGUUCAUCCUUUAAGGUCUUUGAUCAGCUCAGUACUUCUCCAGAAACCACUGAAGUGCAGGAAGUGAAUACAAAUGAGCAUGACGGCCAUUUGAACCAACACUAACUUCUCCGAACCAUCCUCCUUUUAAUUCUAACUCCUCAGGGAACCAAUCCGAUGAGGGUUAACUCAUAGCUUGCCUGAGGGUAUGAAAAUUUUGACACUGCUGCCAUUGGAAUCAUAAAUUUUGAUCUGUUCCAACUUAGACCGCCCACAGGAAACUAGCUGAUGACGAUUUGUUUCCUUUACCUCUUGUUUCAUGAAUCCAGAUCUGUUGUCAAAAAGAAAACAAAUUCAUCAGAAUUUUUGAAGUAUUUAUUUUCAAAACUGAGCUCUUUAUACUACUUCAACCAACAGGAGAGGGUUGUCAUUGCAACUGGAUUGAGAAUUUGAGAAUGAAACUCUUUAGUGUUGCCUUUGGCAAACAGAGUAUCUGCUCGUUAACAUCUCUCUUAUCUAAUAUUUUGAAUUUGAUUGUUUCAUAGGACUAAGCGAGCAUAUUGUGAUUGUGCUAGACGUCUUAUUGCUUGUUUGUUAAA